rnacentral:rRNA from 1 species
GAUGAACGCUGGCGGCGUGCUUAACACAUGCAAGUCGAACGAGAAGUGAAGACGGAAACCUUCGGGCGGAAGGCUUUAUUUCGAGUGGCGGACGUGUGAGUAACGCGUGGGUAACCUGCCUCAUACAGGGGGAUAACAGUUGGAAACGACUGUUAAUACCGCAUAAGACCACAGCACCGCAUGGUGCGGGGGUAAAAACUCCGGUGGUAUGAGAUGGACCCGCGUUCGAUUAGCCAGUUGGCGGGGUAACGGCCCACCAAAGCGACGAUCGAUAGCCGAUCUGAGAGGAUGACCGGCCACAUUGGGACUGAGACACGGCCCAAACUCCUACGGGAGGCAGCAGUGGGGAAUAUUGCACAAUGGGGGAAACCCUGAUGCAGCGACGCCGCGUGAGUGAAGAAGUAUUUCGGUAUGUAAAGCUCUAUCAGCAGGGAAGAAAAUGACGGUACCUGAGGAAGAAGCCCCGGCUAACUACGUG